UCCCGCAUUGGUAUGCCCAAAUGACUGGGACGCGUUGUCCCGUGGAAUGAGUUUUAGCCAUUUUUUCGUUCCACCUUCUCUCUGGAACACAAAAUUAUAAAUUUUUUCGACAAUAAUACCCCUCAAUUUUUCAUUAAUUCCACUCUCUACCCUCCCUCUCUCUCCCCCGUAGCCUCCCUCUCUUUGAACCCAAUCCCAGCUUCCUUCCGCCACCUCCCUCAUCCCUGGUUAAUGCCACGGUCUCUAGAACGCUGCCAUGGAAGGUUGCUUGAUGAGAUGCUCUCACGGUGGCGCUCUCUUGAAAGCCCUCAAACCUCUCGUUGCGUUCUUAUUCUUCACUUGUCUGCAGGUGAGGCUCAGUGGGGAGCAAUGGCUAACAGGAAUCUGGAGAAGUUGGCGUCCAUUGACGCACAGCUUCAGCUUUUGGUUUCAGCUGUAAAAUUUGGUUUCGAUCGGUUUGAGACGUUCAUCUUGAUUUCGAUUGGUACCCAUGAUGCAAAAACACUUGAAUUUGUGAUUGGAAUAUGCGGCAUUUUUAUUCUAUUGCUAAAAGUAUGGAACUUUAUGUGUGAAUUUGAAACUCCUUAUCAAUUUUGUUUGAACCCUUUUGAUUUUGGUGGAUUCGUGGACCCUUUUGAUAUUUUUGGGAUUUGAUUUUCCUUAUGAAGGUUUAUAACUUUGGAGGGUUUGCAGAAGUUGAUUGGGUUCUGGGUUGGGUGUUUUGCGUUCUUCCUCUCUGUUAAGGGAGGCUGGAUUUGUGAGUUUUCUGGGAUGCCAAUUAGUUUUGAUCAAAUUGAAUAAUUUAUGGAUUA